ACGUACGUGUACAACAAAUGAAAUAUUGCAUACGAAAGCUAUAAGUAGAAACAAAAAGUUUUUAACAGGAGCAAAAGGAUGUUAUUGUUUUGGAAACGUGAUAGAAUUGUCGUCAAUGAAAUGUGUAUUGAGCGGUAGAGAUUGGCUUUUUUCGUUUUAUGUGUUUUCCGACAUCUUUUGGUUUCACCUGGAUUUAACUCCAUCGACAGUCUAUACAUGAUAUUUUUAUAAAAGUCUUUGAGUGCGCCCUCAGAGCUGCAGAAAAUAGCACAGAAAAGAUUUGUACGUCGAAGCCAAUUGUGCCAAAGUGAAACCAGGAGAGAUUCGGAAAGUAUAUGGAAAGUUAGACGUUUUCUUUGUUAGUACAUGCACGUCAUGUCUGCAGAUAAAACAGACGAUAACGACUAACAAUGUUUAUUGACUUAAUUUAAAAUAAUUAACUUGUCAUAAUGGAAACGUUACCGGUAUUAAAAGCAACAAGAUGAAACCAACUGUAAAUAGAAUAACGAAUAAAGAUGUAUGUAUGCAUGAUUUAUCUAGAAAUGUUUUCAAGCUGUGACUUUUGUUGCCCGCA